rnacentral:rRNA from 1 species
UAGUCAUAUGCUUGUCUCAAAGAUUAAGCCAUGCAUGUCUAAGUAUAAACCAAAUUAUACGGUGAAACUGCGAAUGGCUCAUUAAAUCAGUUAUAGUUUAUUUGAUGAUGGCUUACUACAUGGAUAACUGUGGUAAUUCUAGAGCUAAUACAUGCGUUAAAGCCCCGACUUCUGGAAGGGGUGUAUUUAUUAGAUAAAAAGCCAAUGCGGUCCGCCGCUCCAUUGGUGAUUCAUAAUAACUUGUCGAAUCGUAUGGCCUUGUGCCGGCGAUGCUUCAUUCAAAUAUCUGCCCUAUCAACUUUCGAUGGUAAGGUAUUGGCCUACCAUGGUGAUAACGGGUAACGGGGAAUCAGGGUUCGAUUCCGGAGAGGGAGCCUGAGAAACGGCUACCACAUCCAAGGAAGGCAGCAGGCGCGCAACUUACCCAAUGCCAAUACGGCGAGGUAGUGACAAUAAAUAGCAAUGUAAGACUUCAUAGGGGUCUUAUCAAUUGGAAUGAGUAGAGUUUAAACCUCUCUAUGAGAAACAAUU